ensembl:lncRNA
GUUAACUUGCUUAUUUUGCUAUUUAAGCUGCUCUUGUUUGGUAGUGUAAAGCAAAACUAAUUCUAACAUUUGGUUUUGGUUUAGGGAGCCAGCAGCAUACUGCUCGAUUUAUUCAAUUGAGGGGGGAGAACGAUGAGCUGUUCACCGGGGUGAAAUACUCAGCAAGUGUAGCUUGGGGGACUAUUCUGGAGAAAAUAGGCCUGCAGGGGAAGGUGACUCCCCUGCAGGCAAAGAAAAAAUGGGACAAUUAAAAAAAUAUAUAAGAUUGCAAGUAUCCAGGAUCAGGAGAGGGGGUAGGUGGGAAACCCACUGCUGCCACUUGGCCCUGGUUUGUCCCCAUGGAUAAGGUAUUGGGACAGAGGCAUUCCAACA